GCGCAUGGUAGCAGCUUCUGGACAUGGUCAGGGCACGUCUGUGACUCCAGCAGUCUGGAGGGAGAGAGCAGGAGAAGCAGGCGCUCAAGGGAGAAGGAAACCAGUUGGUUCAAGCUAGUAGACAGUUGGGCCUUUCAUGAAGAGGAUGUCUCACAGAUGGCAGCCAUGAGUUAUAUGCAGAUUGAUGCUGCUAUCUAGGAGCAGUUUCUGGAGAACCAGUUGCAAAUGUACCAGCCUUCUCCCUCGCUCUCCAGUCUUCUGGUCAUAACCAUAGAAAUUCUAACUACUUGUGCAUGGGAUUGCUCUGUGAUGGAAUAGUGUCCAUUUUCCCAAAGGAGGCCACCAUGGAUGUUGUUUCUGGUUGUCUUCUGUCUCCAUGCAUUACUCAUUCUCCCUCUCGUAUUACCUAUGGCUGCUGAAUGCGAGCGAUCCCCCAUCAACAGAAGGGAAGGUUUGGAUCUGCAGGAGACUGCGAGAUGAACUCCGCUUCUUCUUGGACUUAAGAGAGUCUUGCAUAAGGAUAGAAUCUUUUCUGGUCUGGAGAAGGUCCUACCUCUGUGCUUCCCUUUACUAUAUACAGCCCCCAAGCUUGCAACGGCCAACUAGGACCCUUUGUAACCUUCUAAACACAUGUGGAAAAUUGAAAGUAAGUGUAAUUUUGGACAAAGUAGAAUACAUGGAUUCUUGUGCCUUGUCUCAUGACCCUGCCCAUUCUCCCUGCAACAAGAAAGCAGAGGAAACUUCUACCAGUAAAUUAAUGUCAGGAUUUCAGAUAAAGAAGUGGGAACUAUAUGGGAAAGGGGCCUUCUGUUUGUAAAUGACUUCAAGUUACAUUAGAAAACAAUUUUCUACUUUCCUGUUUAUUAGGACAAGGAGAAAUUUGUCUCUAGAAGCAAGUUUCAAGAAUUUUCUGACAUCUUGCAUAUUUCUUAGCUUUUUCUGAUCAUGAAAAUUUCUCAAAGCAAACAAAGAUGGAGAGAGAGAGGUAGUGGGAAAAAAUUAGGGUUUUUGCUUGUUUGUUUCAGAAACAUUCAAAUGUAGCUGCUCACAAAUCUUAAACUGGAAAUGACAGUGUGUGAGGACAGGAACACGAGGAACACUUGCUAACCAGGGGCAGAUGUCUCUUUCCCUUUUUGCUGGAAAUACAUGAGUCAGAGCCAUGCCCUUCAGGGAGGGCCUCAGAGUCACCUGCUGAUGUGUGUGCUUUGUCAGGUGGCCAGAGUGUCAUUGUGAGCUAUCCAUCUCCUUUCUCUCUACCUUUGGGACACUGAAAUGCAAAUGUCCAAGAACUUUUGUAGACCCUAAGGGUCCUAGGCCAGGUCUCUCAGCUAUAGGUUAAAAGAAUCAGGGGGGAAAACACUAAUGGAGACUGUAUCGGUAGUAACAAUGGGUAGAAGAACAACCUCCAAGAUACACAGGGCUGUGGACUUCAGAAUGCAGCAGGGAGACAAGGAGUCAGGGGUAGGGGUCUGAAAGAGACAUUUAUUUUUUUCUAUACAUCUUUAUUUGUCUCAUUCCUCUCAAUGUGCUUUGGAAAUUUCCAAGGUGAAAUCAUGGUGUAUUCUGUCUUUGAAAGUAGAAAAUGGCGAUGAUAUAAAAGUGUUCAAAAUUGGAGUAAGUCAUAAGUAAUAAUUUCCCAUAUCCCUGACUUAUGGGGUCCAUAGGUUCUAAAAUGGACUAUCAGAC
rnacentral:lncRNA from 1 species